GGGCCCGUAGCUUAGUCCGGAUAGGGCGCCGGCCUUCUAAGCCGGAAAUCGGGGGUUCAAAUCCCCUCGGGUCCG
rnacentral:tRNA from 1 species